GCUCGCGCCGGGAGGGGCCCUCGCGCCCCGCGCCCACAGGUGCACGCGCCCUUGGCGCCGCCUGCACCCCACGCGCCCCCUCCGCUCCCCGGCCGACGGCCCACCUGGGCUUCGUGAACAGUGGGAGGGAGAGUCUGGGGCCAGGAGAGGGACGGUGCAGGAUCAGGGAAAGAAAGAUCUGCUGAGCAUGCCUGAGCUGAGAAAUGAGGGAAGGCAGACAUAUGUAUGAGCGCCUAUGCAGAGAGAUACAGGGUCUCACUCUGUUGCCCAGGCUGGAGAACAGUGGCACGAUCAUGCGUUAUUCACUGCAGACUUGAACUCCUGGCCUCAAGCAAUCUUUCUACCUUGACCUCCCAAAGUGCUGGGAUUACAGGUGUGAGCCACUGUGUUUAGCCUAGACUUACCUUUAAUAGCUUUUGAUAAGUUAUUUUUUAAUGUAAUUUUGAUAAAAUAAUUGUACCUAAAAUGUACUAAUGUGUUGGUAUUGUCUACUAUCCAAUCUACGAACAAAUUUUACUGAUUCAUUCGUAACUGACCCCAGAGUUGGUUUGUUUGAAUCACUGUAACUGAGCCUCUAUUAUAAAGAUCAUA
rnacentral:lncRNA from 10 species